GACGAACGCUGGCGGCGUGCCUAAUACAUGCAAGUAGAACGCUGGAGGAGGAGCUUGCUUCUCUGGAUGAGUUGCGAACGGGUGAGUAACGCGUAGGUAACCUGCCUGGUAGCGGGGGAUAACUAUUGGAAACGAUAGCUAAUACCGCAUAAUAUUGACUAUUGCAUGAUAGUCAGUUGAAAGGUGCAACUGCACCACUACCAGAUGGACCUGCGUUGUAUUAGCUAGUUGGUGGGGUAACGGCUCACCAAGGCGACGAUACAUAGCCGACCUGAGAGGGUGAUCGGCAAAACUGGGACUGAGACACGGCCCAGACUCCUACGGGAGGCAGCAGUAGGGAAUCUUCGGCAAUGGACGGAAGUCUGACCGAGCAACGCCGCGUGAGUGAAGAAGGUUUUCGGAUCGUAAAGCUCUGUUGUAAGAGAAGAACGAGUGUGAGAGUGGAAAGCUCACACUGUGACGGUAUCUUACCAGAAAGGGACGGCUAACUACG
rnacentral:rRNA from 1 species